rnacentral:lncRNA from 1 species
GCCUUCACUCACUGUUCCUGGUUGAUACGUACACCACCCACUUAGAACCUGUGCCCAGGUUCUCUAAGUCUAGAGAUCCGGACUAGCCCUCAGGCAUCUGCUGGGGCUGGGAGGAAUGAUUGUCUGGGAACUGAUGAAAAAAAAAAAAAAAAAAAAAGAGAGGAUACUAGGAUCUAACUGCUCCUCAAACAGCUCUUCAGGAAUCUGCCCCUUCACCCCUACUUCCAAGGAUAUCUGAUGCCAUCAAUGUAGAAGCCUUUGGAAUA